GAUAAGUGAGGGCAGUUCACAAAAGAGUUAGCUGAGCUAUAAUAAAGUGGCCAGUGCAUGGGUGGGUGGGAGCAAAUUGACAGCAAAUCACAUUACACUGAGUGCAAAUUAAAAGCCCUAUCCUUAGCGAGAAAGGUCAUAUUCAUUUUCAGUCCAUUUCAUAAUCACCUGUUGUUUGUGGGGGAAAAAAACCUGCUGUAAGUCACCUGAUUAAUAUUUUCUCACACAGUCUUUCUGUUCUCCAACAGUUAGAGGUUGACAUGUGAUGUUCAGACAAAAACACAGACAGUUCAACCAGCAGGUGGAGUUAGAGGUGUUCUCAUCAUCUUUGGAGUGCACACAGAAGAAAAACAUUCCUUGGCUGCAUUUGAAGGUCAAUAUGGUGCAUACUGAUACAGGCUGAACAAAAAGGACUGUCAGCUAAAGUAUCACUCUAUAGCUGAAGGUCAUAUUCAUAAUGAAAAUCAUCACAGUGUGUGGAUGUAAGGCAGACAUGGAACUGCAUCAGAGGAACAGUCAGAUAUCUCAAUUCACAGUAUCCACCAAUAUGGAUUCCCGUUCGGAUCUUAGUGCCCUCUUUUUUAAACCUAACUGCGUGGAACUCAUUGGCAUCAUUUUUAUUUAAGGCUGCUGAAAAGAGUCAUUCGGCCAUCAAGUCACACGGAUGCCGUCACUUCUGCCUCUUAAGUGCAAGUUGUACGUUGGAUGAAAGGCACACACCACAAAUAGCUUUGUCCAUCAGCC